rnacentral:misc_RNA from 1 species
GGAUGAAGAACGUAGCGAAAUGCGAUAAGUAAUGUGAAUUGCAGAAUUCAGUGAAUCAUCGAAUCUUUGAACGCACAUUGCGCCCGCCAGUAUUCUGGCGGGCAUGCCUGUUCGAGCGUCAUUUCAACCAUCAAGCCCUGCUUGCGUUGGGGUCCUGCGGCUGCCCGCAGGCCCUGAAAACCAGUGGCGGGCUCGCUAGUCACACCGAGCGCAGUAAUACAUCUCGCUUUGGGCGUGCGGCGGGUUCUUGCCGUUAAACACCCCCUUUUUACCAAGGUUGACCUCGGAUCAGGUAGGAAUACCCGCUGAACUUAAGCAUACAAUAAGCGGAGGA